CGGGGCGUAGCUCAGUUUGGCUAGAGCGUUUGGUUUGGGACCAAAAGGCCACAGGUUCAAGUCCUGUCGCCCCGA
rnacentral:tRNA from 1 species